AUUGAACGCUGGCGGCAGGCCUAACACAUGCAAGUCGAGCGGAUGAAGGGAGCUUGCUCCUGGAUUCAGCGGCGGACGGGUGAGUGAUGCCUAGGAAUCUGCCUGGCAGUGGGGGAUAACGUCCGGAAACGGGCGCUAAUACCGCAUACGUCCUGAGGGAGCAAGUGGGGGAUCUUCGGACCUCACGCUAUCAGAUGAGCCUAGGUCGGAUUAGCUAGUUGGUGGGGUAAAGGCCUACCAAGCCGACGAUCCGUAACUGGUCUGAGAGGAUGAUCAGUCACACUGGAACUGAGACACGGUCCAGACUCCUACGAGAGGCAGCAGUGGGGAAUAUUGGACAAUGGGCGAAAGCCUGAUCCAGCCAUGCCGCGUGUGUGAAGAAGGUCUUCGGAUUGUAAAGCACUUUAAGUUGGGAGGAAGGGCAGUAAGUUAAUACCUUGCUGUUUUGACGUUACCAACAGAAUAAGCACCGGCUAACUUCGUG
rnacentral:rRNA from 1 species